rnacentral:misc_RNA from 1 species
UGGGUUCAAAUAAAAUACACUGGUUGGGAUUGCUACCACUCCAACUUCCUUGAUCAAAUACUCACAAAAUGCAAUAUCAUUUUCUAGGCCGAAAGGGGUGUGAUCAACAACAACAAAGUAAGUCCCACUUGAUGGGAAUACUUUGAAACCAACAGCCUUCAAUCCCUCCACUAAAAUUGCCUUCUUUGCCAUAUAGUCCCUUUUUAGCUCUACAUAGUAAGAAUCUGGGGCUCUAAGGGCCACUGAAGCCGCCCAUUGCAUUGGAGUGGAGGUAGCAAAAGUUAGGAAGGCGUGUGCCUGCCGCACUCCCCAUGUCAGGUGUGGAGGAGCAAUUGCCCAGCCAAUCUUCCACCCUGUUAAGGAGAAUGUCUUCCCUAAGGAAUUCAUAGUUACUGUCCGCUCAUACAUUCCAGGAAGAGAGGCCAUAGAUAUGUGAUCCAUUUCAAAGGCCAAUUUAUCAUAAACUUCAUCUGUAAAGACCAGAACAUCAUUCUCAAUACAAAGUGAUGCAAUAGUGUUGAGUUCAUCCCUAGUAAACAUCUUCCCAGUGGGGUUAUGUGGUGUG